rnacentral:rRNA from 1 species
GACGAACGCUGGCGGCGUGCUUAACACAUGCAAGUCGAACGGAAAGGCCCUGCUUUUGUGGGGUGCUCGAGUGGCGAACGGGUGAGUAACACGUGAGUAACCUGCCCUUGACUUUGGGAUAACUUCAGGAAACUGGGGCUAAUACCGGAUAGGAGCUCCUGCUGCAUGGUGGGGGUUGGAAAGUUUCGGCGGUUGGGGAUGGACUCGCGGCUUAUCAGCUUGUUGGUGGGGUAGUGGCUUACCAAGGCUUUGACGGGUAGCCGGCCUGAGAGGGUGACCGGCCCCAUUGGGACUGAGAGACGGCCCAGAAUCCUACGGGAGGCAGCAGGGGGGAAUAUUGCACAAUGGGGGGAAGCCCGAUGCAGCAACGCCGCGGGGGGGAGGACGGCCCUUGGGGUGUAAACCGCUUUCGCCCGUGAAGAAGGGGGAGGGACGGGAAAGGGUAAAGAAACCACGGCUAACUAAGUG